AAAAAUCAAUAAAAAUAUUCUGGGGGCUCCGGGGGGCUCUUUCUUGGUCCCAACCGGACCCCCAGACCCUGCUCUAUCAUUCCCGACAAUUGGAAAAAAUGUCCGGGGGGAUCCCCGCUGCCCAGGCGCCGGUAUUAGGGGGGUGGGUGGGGAGAGGUGGGGAGGGAGGCGGAGGGAGGAGGAGGGAGAGCGCCGCAGCCUCGGCGGCUGGAGUCAGAGCCGGGGAGGCGAUUUCAAAAAAUAAUUAAAAAUCGAGGAAAUAUCCUAGAAAAGCCCUUUUGGCGUGAAAACCCCAAAGAGGACCCAGGCUUCCCGAAACGGAGGUUUCGGGUGCCGGAAAGUGCUGUCUGGCAUCUUUCAUCUCAAACCUGUCAUAGAAGAAAAAAAACUAAAGGAAGGAACUACACUGGGCAUGAAAAGACAUGGAUUCUUAUCCUUUUUUUUUUUUAAUCACUAACCAACUUCUGAGACUUUGGAUAUGUUACUUCAAAAAAUAAUAAUUACUAUCUAGUGAGCACCUACUGUUUACCAGGCAUUGUGUUAGGCACUUUACAUACAAGCCCCUAUAUAUAAGUGUCUGCUUGUCUAAAAUAAGAGAGUGUGCUACAUGUCGUCAGUGUCCCACCCAGUUCCAGGAGUGGGUGACCGUAAGGAGCUAUCUUUCUUAGAACAUUCUCACAGUUCCUGAGGCUUCUUUAUUCUCCUCUUUCCUGUUUCCUAGCUGGCAGUGGUAAGGUUGCUGUAGAACAAAGCUCUUUAUCGACUCCACUGUAGUGAGUCCUGGGCUGUGUCUUCCUACUCUUUACUCUCCCAAAGGGCUUCCCACUUUUCCGUAGGAAUUGGCUUGACUCUUACUAGCCCCUGUUAGGGUUUCCAUGAUUGUAUGACUUCCUCUCUCUUUAGACUCUCCCUGUGGAUCUUUGAUUCACUCUGAUGCCUUCUUUUCCUACCUGUGGGCUCAGAGAAGUCAAAUAAUUUGGAAAAGGUCACCCAGAUUAUAUAUAAGUAGCAGAACCGGCAACUGUCUGACUCCAUUGCCUUUGUUGUUUCUGCUAUAAUAUGAUUUCUGUCUCUGAAAUUUCACUUGGGUCUAUUUUUCCCACCCUAACUUAAGAUCUAGCUGAAGCCUGCCUUUUCCAUCAUCACCUUAGCCUGGCCACGUUUUCUUCCCUCACAAUUUCCCCACUAGAUAUUGUCUGCACUACACAUCAGGCCCCACUCGGGGACUUAGAUCUUGGGAGACCCUAUAGUUUUAGUGGUUAUAAAUGUGGGGUCUGGAGUCAGAGGGCCAAAGUAUGAAUUCUGGCUCUACUACAAGGCUAUGCAACCUUGGGAAAAUUCCUUAACCUCUCUGGGCCUCCAUUUCCUCAACUACAAACUAGAGAUACUGGUACCACUUACCUCCUAGGGUUGCUGUGCAGAAGUAGCACAAUGUCUGAUACACGAAAGAAGUACUCAGUGAACUGAUUCUAUUACCAGAUCUUGGGCUGAGUUCUGACUGGUCCAAGCUGAGCAACAGUCUUGCCAGAAUGAUUGACAGUAAUCUCUUGGAGUCUUUCUCCACCAGUACAUAUAGAUCUAUUUCAUUCAUACAGCCCAGAGAGGGAUGCCAGGGUACUGAGAAUGUAUUCUCUGAGCUGAACUGGGGAGGGGUGCCAGGGACAGCCACGUCCUGCAACUCUGGAGAUGGAGGGUGGUGGAGAGACAGCAGGCAGCCGCAGGCCUGGGGCCCUGCCAGGGGAGGCCUCAAAGCCCACUCUGGGGUUGGCACCCCCAUGCUGGGCAGUGCACCAAGGAGAAUAUAAAAUAAAACUGACUCAUACAAGGAGUGAUGAUGAAAAUGCAACUUCCAGAAGAUUCCAAGGCAGCAGCGUGGACUAGAUUUGAUCUCUACCUCCUAGGUCCAUAUCUACAAUCUUGGACAAUAAGAGCUAGUGCCCAAUGGUGACCUCAAGUCAGAAGAAGCUCCUAACCAAGAUCACCAAGAAAGUUGCAUCAUUUUUCUGUCCUUGCUAAGAUAUGAAAGUAGACUUAGUUUUUGAGAGAUUUUUUUGUAAGGUUUGAAACAUAAAGUAUUUUUUCAAGGUGACCUUCAGCUCAUUACAAUGGCAUUUGGAAGAACAUCUCCAAACUCUGUUUUGGUCAAUUGGCCUGUAAGAGUUACAAAUAAAUUGGAAGCUGCAGAAAAAGUGGGGAAGAAGGUAUGCACUUCACCAAAGGAUUGGUUGCUUAUCUAGACAUUCUCUCUCGGUGAUUCUUAAAAUUGAGAGCAUUUCUGGUGCAUUUUAAAUGGUUUCAUUCAACUGAAAGUGAGACUUAUAUAUUCCAUUUAGAAAAUCUGGCAAAAUGUACUUGAUUUUGAAAACCUUAUAAAGCAUACCAUGUUAAAGCUGAAAGGGGCAUUGCUGCUCGUUUUAAAGCUUCAAGAAAUUAAGUGACUUGUCACAUCACAAGGCUUUGUCCAUUGUGAGCUAACUCCCAGUUUUCUCCCACUACUGUGCAUUUUCCUUAUAUCCAAAAUAUCUGAUCAUCCCUAGGGAGGACUCUCUAUUUGGUCCUCAGCUGCUGUCAUAGAUGCUGUCAUUGAUCUCCCUUUUGGAUUUUUGCCCCUUUUACAGUGGAAAAAUUUCAAACAUAAAGAUAAAGACUACAGUUUAAAAAACUCCCAUGUGCCCCUCAUUCUACAAGUAUAAAGAAUAUAAUAUAAAAACCUCCCAUGUGUCCUAACUCUACAAUUAUUAACAUAUGACCAAUUUUCUUUUAUCUACACCUGUCUCCAGUUCCCCCUCCUACACAGAUUUUAAAGUAAAUCCAAUAUUCCUGUAAUUUCUUCUGUAAAUACUCCAUGCGUAACGUGUAAGAACUCUCUCAUAUAUACAUGUAUAUCUACAAUACAAUGCCCACAACUAACAAAAAUUAACAAUAUUUCCUUAAUACCAUCAAAUUUCCUCGGUUGUCUGUCUGUCUCUCUUUCCUGCUGCUGUUUUUAAAAUCAGGAUCCAAAAAAAAGCCAGAGAUCAGAUCUCAGAUAUCAGGUAGAAUAAUCAGCUAAUCAUUCAAAGUUCUUUCAUUAGAGUGUUUACUAAACAAGGGGAAAUAAAUUGCAUAAUAGGAAUACUUUAUAAUCAUCAUAGAUCAUAUUUAUAUACAUCCUUACACUUCAUAAGCUUCUGUGACCUUUGACAUUCACAUCAGAUAUAGAGUAGAAAGGUAUUAUUUCCAGAGGAAACUGAGACCUGGAGGUUUUAAGGAAUCCAAUUAGUGGUUAAGCUGAGACCCCUCCCCCAUCCCCCCAACACCACCCCCCACCGCCACCACUAAGUUUCCUGGCUGGGCUUUUCUGAUUGCAACAAAAUAUUAUAACCUCAUCUCAUUACAAUGGCAGCUUCUUUGUAGGUUCCCAUUCUCUUCUAAACAUUAGAAGAAGCUCACUUAACCUUCUCAACAACCCUGUGAAGUAGAUGCCUUUGUUCUCACUCCAGCUGAUGAGAAUCCCCGGCACAGAGGGGUUAGAACGUUUACUCAAGGUCAUGCAGUGGUAGAGUUCACACCCAGGUCUUUCUGAUUCCGGAGCUCAAGCUUGUAACUUUUGUAACAUACGAGCAUCGCAUUGCAGGGCAAAUUAAUUUCCAGUGUUGAAUUUACCUCCAUUGACUUAUCUUUCUUCCCUUUUAGAAUUUGGCUAUGAUUAUGAAAUAAAAUUACAUUUAAAACAAUUUCUACUCCAAAGACAUUUCACAAACGUGGACGUGAUUUUCCCUUUAUCCGAAUUCGUGAAGUUCUACACGACUCCCAACUAAAUAAUUAAAAGCUGAAAAUAAA